GGACUAAUGAUUUAUAUUCGUUUCCUAUAAGGAACUGUCCCUGGAUCUAUUUCCAUUUUUCAUUUUCCCUUUUCUUUUUUCUUUUUCUUUUCUUAUAUAUAAAUUUUUAAAUCAUUGCUCCAUAUGAAAGCCAAAUGAUUCUCAGUUCUUUUCUUGAAACUAUUUAUCAAAUUUAUUGGGUUGUUACUUCUUGUUAAUGGUUCGUUUCAUAAUUUUAAAAGGGACAAGUAGCUUUGAAGAACACUGCACAAAAUUUAUUUGGGUCUGUGCAGGAUUUAGGACCAUAAACCCCUUCAACAAACCUUCAGACUUUUGAGAUUCACAGUAAUAUGACUUAUUAAAACUCAUACAGUGAAUCUGUCUGUCUGUCUAUAUCUCUCAAGCUUAAGUCAAUAUUCACUUUCCUUUUAGACUCAUUUAGAUUGAUAAGGUUUUCCUGUGGUUUGGGCAUUUGGCAGAGAAUGAAAAAUAUUGAUGCCGUUUUCUUUUGAUUGCAGGUGAUUGGUAUAUGUUGAUGAAGAUUUAGGCAUAGCAGGAACCUGAGAUGUGUGUUAGAGGCAUGGCGGAAAUUUGGGGGCUGAAGCCUGGAGAGUCCAACGGGGAAAGCAGUACCAGGUAUACAUCAAACAGCCAUGUUUUGUAAAUAUUACAUGUUUACAUAAUUUCCCUAUGUUUUUGGCUACAUGGAGUGUCGUUGAGAUUAAUGUUUUAGUUCAUGGUUGACAACUCUUCCAAAGGAAAUUGCAAACUGCCUGUUGCCCUUUUUGCCUU